CUACAUGAAGCUGGAAUCGCUAGUAAUCGCGGAUCAGAAUGCCGCGGUGAAUACGUUCCCGGGUCUUGUACACACCGCCCGUCACACCAUGGGAGUCGGAAAUGCCCGAAGUCUGUGACCCAACCUACGGGAGGGAGCAGCCGAAGGCAGGUCGGAUGACUGGGGUGAAGUCGUAACAAGGUAUC
rnacentral:rRNA from 1 species